AAAGAACCUUAGUGAGUGCGCUCACAUACCCCAUGUCCCCACAUUGUCAUUGGAGAAAUAAAAUAAGUGUAAGGAAAAAAAAUUGUAUCAGAAAAAAAAAUUGAAUCAUAAUUUCCUGUCAAUAUGCACAUCUACAUAGUAUGUCCUUAUUAUCUACACAGUUUCAUGAAAUUCUGUUGUGUGGUUUGAGAGGAGUUGCGAUGACAAAAGGUUGCAGUAGUAUAUUGGGCAAAUAAGUUCAAAGGGGCGUAACUCCUGGAAAAAAAAAUUGAAUCGUAAUUUCCUGUCGAUAUGCACAUCUAUGUAGUAUGUCCUUAUUAUCUGAAAAGGUUUCAUGAAAUUCUGUUGUGUGGUUUGAGAGGAGUUGCGAUGACAAAAGGUUGCAGUAGUAUAUUCGGCAAAUAAGUUCAAAGGGGCGUAACUCCUGGAAAAAAAAAUUGAAUCGUAAUUUCCUGUCGAUAUGCUCAUCUACGUAGUAUGUCCUUAUUAUCUGAAAAGGUUUCAUGAAAUUCUGUUGUGUGGUUUGAGAGGAGUUGUGAUGACAAAAGGUUGCAGUAGUAUAUUGGGCAAAUAAGUUCAAAGGGGCGUAACUCCUGGAAAAAAAAUUGAAUUGUAAUUUCCUGUCGAUAUGCACAUCUACGUAGUAUGUCCUUAUUAUCUGAAAAGGUUUCAUGAAAUUCUGUUGUGUGGUUUGAGAGGAGUUGCGAUGACAAAAGGUUGCAGUGGUAUAUUGGGCAAAUAAGUUCAAAGGGGCGUAACUCCUGGAAAAAAAAUUGAAUUGUAAUUUCCUGUCGAUAUGCACAUCUACGUAGUAUGUCCUUAUUAUCUGAAAAGGUUUCAUGAAAUUCUGUUGUGUGGUUUGAGAGGAGUUGUGAUGACAAAAGGUUGCAGUAGUAUAUUGGGCAAAUAAGUUCAAAGGGGCGUAACUCCUGGAAAAAAAAUUGAAUUGUAAUUUCCUGUCGAUAUGCACAUCUACGUAGUAUGUCCUUAUUAUCUGAAAAGGUUUCAUGAAAUUCUGUUGUGUGGUUUGAGAGGAGUUGCGAUGACAAUAGGUUGCAGUAGUAUAUUGGGCAAAUAAGUUCAAAGGGGCGUAACUCCUGGAAAAAAAAUUGAAUUGUAAUUUCCUGUCGAUAUGCACAUCUACGUAGUAUGUCCUUAUUAUCUGAAAAGGUUUCAUGAAAUUCUGUUGUGUGGUUUGAGAGGAGUUGCGAUGACAAAAGGUUGCAGUAGUAUAUUGGGCAAAUAAGUUCAAAGUGGCGUAACUCCUGCAAAAAAAAAUUGAAUCGUAAUUUCCUGUCGAUAUGCUCAUCUACGUAGUAUGUCCUUAUUAUCUGAAAAGGUUUCAUGAAAUUCUGUUGUGUGGUUUGAGAGGAGUUGUGAUGACAAAAAGUUGCAGUAGUAUAUUGGGCAAAUAAGUUCAAAGGGGCGUAACUCCUGGAAAAAAAAUUGAAUUGUAAUUUCCUGUCGAUAUGCACAUCUACGUAGUAUGUCCUUAUUAUCUGAAAAGGUUUCAUGAAAUUCUGUUGUGUGGUUUGAGAGGAGUUGCGAUGACAAAAGGUUGCAGUGGUAUAUUGGGCAAAUAAGUUCAAAGGGGCGUAACUCCUGGAAAAAAAAUUGAAUUGUAAUUUCCUGUCGAUAUGCACAUCUACGUAGUAUGUCCUUAUUAUCUGAAAAGGUUUCAUGAAAUUCUGUUGUGUGGUUUGAGAGGAGUUGUGAUGACAAAAGGUUGCAGUAGUAUAUUGGGCAAAUAAGUUCAAAGGGGCGUAACUCCUGGAAAAAAAAUUGAAUUGUAAUUUCCUGUCGAUAUGCACAUCUACGUAGUAUGUCCUUAUUAUCUGAAAAGGUUCCAUGAAAUUCUGUUGUGUGGUUUGAGAGAAGUUGCGAUGACAAAAGGUUGCAGUAGUAUAUUGGGCAAAUAAGUUCAAAGGGGUGUAACUCCUGGAAAAAAAAUUGAAUCGUAAUUUCCUGUCGAUAUGCACAUCUAGGUAGUAUGUCCUUUUUAUC